rnacentral:rRNA from 1 species
GAAUCAAACGCUGGCGGCGUGCCUAACACAUGCAAGUCGAACGCGAGAGGGGGCUUCGGCCCCGAUUGAGUGGCGAACGGGUGAGUAACGCGUGGGUGACCUACCUUCGAGUGGGGGAUAACGUCCCGAAAGGGACGCUAAUACCGCAUAGCAUCCUGCUUUUGAAUGGGUGGAGAUCAAAGCCGGGGAUCGCAAGACCUGGCGCUUGAUGAGGGGCCCGCGUCUGAUUAGCUAGUGGUGAGGUAACGGCCCACCAAGGCAACGAUCAGUAUCCGGCCUGAGGAGGGCGGACGGACACACUGGGACUGAGACACGGCCCAGACUCCUACGGGAGGCAGCAGUGGGGAAUUGUUCGCAAUGGGCGCAAGCCUGACGACGCAACGCC